rnacentral:rRNA from 1 species
CGGUAAUACGUAAGGUCCGAGCGUUGUCCGGAAUCAUUGGGCGUAAAGGGUACGUAGGCGGGUAAGCAAGUUAGAAGUGAAAUCCUAUAGCUCAACUAUAGUAAGCUUUUAAAACUGCUCAUCUUGAGGUAUGGAAGGGAAAGUGGAAUUCCUAGUGUAGCGGUGAAAUGCGCAGAUAUUAGGAGGAAUACCGGUGGCGAAGGUGACUUUCUGGCCAUAACCUGACGCUGANGUACGAAAGCGUGGGUAGCAAACAGGAUUAGAUACCCUGGUAGUCCACGCCGUAAACGAUGAGUGUUAGGUGUCUGGAGUAAAUCUGGGUGCCGCAGCUAACGCAUNAAACACUCCGCCUGGGAGUACGCGCGCAGCGUGAAACUCAAAGGANUGACGGGNACCCCCCAAGCAGCGGACAUGUGGUUAAUUC